CUGGGGGCGCCGGGCCCGCCUCUGAGCCGCGCUCCCUCACGGAGCCGAGAUCCGCUCCCGCUGCCUGAGGCUGUUGCUUGCAGUUACCGUCCUGGCGUCAAGAGGCAAACCCCCCAGUGUAGCCUUGUUGUGGGCUGCUGGCUUCUCCUGAAGCUCGGGAGGGAACAGAGGGGACGUCCUUGCAUUUCAUGUUUCGUCAGCCCGACAGCAUUUUGGCUUUGAUUCCAUCUUGCUCCUACCUGUUCCUGGACAGUGACGGGGAGGAGAAGAGGCACUAUCCCACCAUGUCCCGUUACAGCCUCCAUAAUCUCCUGGACUGGCUGUACGGGGGGGUGGAGCCCAGCUUUGCUGGCAAUGGAGGGCCAGAAUGCGCUGCCUUUCUCUCCGGGCAGCAGCGUCUGCUGGAGAGCUUGGUCUUCCUCAGUGUGGGUUUUGUGGAGAUCCUUCUGUCCCUGUGGAAGCUGAGGCAGCUGCACUGCAGGGAGCUGGAGGGUCAUCUGCUACAGCAGCCCCAGGCUAAGCAGGAGAGCUUGGGCAAAAAUCUGCUACUGGUGGCUCUCUGUCUCAUCUUUGGGCUGGAGGUGGGGUUCAAGUUUGCUACCAAGACUGUCAUUUACCUACUGAGUCCAUGUCAUGUGGUCACUAUGAUGGAGAUUUUUCUUCUUGACUGUCCUCCAUGUCGGGUUGCAAUGAUUCUUUUCAGGUAAUGCCCCAUCCUUGCUGCAUUUCUG